UACGUAGGGUGCAGGCGUUAAUCGGAAUUAUUGGGCGUAAAGCGUCCGCAGGUGGCUAUACAAGUCUGCUGUUAAAGCGUGGGGCUUAACUCCAUACAGGCAGUGGAAACUGUAAAGCUAGAGUCUGGUAGGGGUCACGGGAAUUCCCAGUGUAGCGGUGAAAUGCGUAGAUAUUGGGAAGAACACCAGCGGCGAAAGCGCGUGACUGGGCCGGAACUGACACUCAUGGACGAAAGCUAGGGGAGCGAAAGGG
rnacentral:rRNA from 1 species